AAUUUAUGUCCUUCUUCCAUAAAGGAGCCGAAUGACAUCAAAGUUUCUUGUUUGGUUUCGAAUUAGAGAUGUUCAAAAUGAUGAACUCAAAGCCAAUCAAGAAUUCAGAAGGAAUCAAAUUCUUGUUAUACAUUAGUUCCGAUCCUCAACCCUCUUAAAUUAUUAGAAUGAUUAAUCAUGCAGGCACAUGAUAUAAAAUGUGGGGAAAAAAAAAAGAUUCUUAUGGAAAUAAGUAUAUGUAACAUUAAUCUAAUGUGGAAAUUACUUUAAUUUUUUUCUUUUUCUUUUUUGGUAGGAGAAAUUACAUUAAAUUGCAUCUAAUCCAAUGCUAUGCUUCUUCCUCAACUUUUUUCAUGGUGGGCAACUAAUCUUCAAUAUUAGGAGAGGAAACAAUAGCACGUGACCCGGGAUGGAAAGUUUCUCCAUCUAAGAUGGCCCACUUGAAAACAAAAAUAAAAAGGUCCAAAGAUCAGAAAGAGUUGCUGAACAUUAUUUAUAGGAAAAAGAUUCUUUGAACGGACCGCAGAGGGUGCACUAGUAAAAGAGCCUAUCUCUCUCCUUGCACGAAAUGAUAUUUUUCCUCCUUACUUUUGGAACUUUUUCAUUGUUCUUCAUUAGUGUGCUUUUUAUGCUGCUUGUUUAGAGAACCUUCUCUCAACUUAUUUUACCCGGAGGCUUAAGAGGGUGCUUUAUGUCCUUUUCUGUUUUUGAAAAUUUUCUUAAUCCAAUGAUUAAUUCAAAGAGAAUGAGUAUCA